rnacentral:rRNA from 1 species
GACGAACGCUGGCGGCGUGCUUAACACAUGCAAGUCGAACGGAAAGGCCCUGCUUUUGUGGGGUGCUCGAGUGGCGAACGGGUGAGUAACACGUGAGUAACCUGCCCUUGACUUUGGGAUAACUUCAGGAAACUGGGGCUAAUACCGGAUAGGAGCUCCUGCUGCAUGGUGGGGGUUGGAAAGUUUCGGCGGUUGGGGAUGGACUCGCGGCUUAUCAGCUUGAUGGUGGGGUAGUGGCUUACCAAGGCUUUGACGGGUAGCCGGCCUGAGAGGGUGACCGGCCACAUUGGGACUGAGAUACGGCCCAGACUCCUACGGGAGGCAGCAGUGGGGAAUAUUGCACAAUGGGCGGAAGCCUGAUGCAGCAACGCCGCGUGCGGGACGACGGCCUUCGGGUUGUAAACCGCUUUCGCCUGUGACGAAGCGUGAGUGACGGUAAUGGGUAAAGAAGCACCGGCUAACUACGUG